UGCCAGCCGCCGCGGUAAUACGAAGGUCCCAAGCGUUGUUCGGAUUUACUGGGCGUAAAGAGUACGUAGGCGGCAUGGUAAGUCAGAUGUGAAAGCCCGGGGCUCAACCUCGGAACUGCAUCCGAUACUGCCUUGCUAGAGUAGUGGAGGGGAGUCUGGAAUUCACGGUGUAGCAGUGAAAUCCGUAGAUAUUCGGAGGAACACCAGUGGCGAAGGCGGCUUUCUGGACCGAUACUGACGCUGAGACGCGAAAGCGUGGGGAGCAAACAGGAUUAGAUA
rnacentral:rRNA from 1 species